rnacentral:lncRNA from 1 species
UGGAGUACUUAUCAGGAGUACUGACUGGACUGGGCUGUCCAUUCACACAGGAAUCUGAUGGAUCUCAAAGUCCAGUUUGGGAGCUAUGAUGUUAUCUCCAUUGUCAACUUCACCGGAUUUAGAGGAUGUCCGCAAUAGUGUUUAGCAAAUAAUUUAAGAACUCGUGAGCAUCCUGCUGCAUGUAGUUAUCAAAGAGAUCUGGAAAGGAGAAGGUCAUCAUUUCACACUCUGCGUCUUCAAGAGCGAACAGACGUUUUUAGCUUUGCGCGACAAGCUUCAGUAACGAUAUCCAAAGACUGGGCAGGCACGGCAUAGAAUCUCUACUGUGCAAUUACAAGAGAGUAACUUCCCAGAGAAUCAUUUCUUUCCAUUUCCUACCACCCACCAUAAACUAAUAUCCCCUAGCUCCCUCCAGUCAUGUACAACAAUGAUCCAAAGUUUAACUCAUUCUAGAAAAGAACCAAAAUUACGAGACAAAAACCUUGAUUAAAUAGCUAUUGGUUUUGCCUGCA